rnacentral:rRNA from 1 species
UACAGAGGUCCCGAGCGUUGUUCGGAUUCAUUGGGCGUAAAGGGUGCGUAGGCGGCGCGGUGAGUCGGGUGUGAAAUCUCGGAGCUUAACUCCGAAACUGCAUUCGAUACUGCCGUGCUUGAGGACUGGAGAGGAGACUGGAAUUUACGGUGUAGCGGUGAAAUGCGUAGAUAUCGUAAGGAAGACCGGUGGCGAAGGCGGGUCUCUGGACAGUUCCUGACGCUGAGGCACGAAGGCCAGGGGAGCAAACGGG